GCACGGGUGAGUAACACGUGAAUGAUCUACCUCCGAGUGGGGAAUAACUGAGAGAAAUCUUAGCUAAUACCGAUAAUACCCACGGGUCAAAGCAGCAAUGCGCUUGGAGAGGAGUUCGCGGCGAUUAGCUAGUUGGGGGUAAUGGCCCACCAAGGGGAUGAUCGGUAUCCGGCUGAGAGGGCGCACGGACACACUGGAACUGGAAACACGGGUCCAGAUUCCUACGGGAGGCAGCAGUGGGGAAUUUUGCGCAAUGGGGGAAACCCUGACGCAGCAACGCCGCGUGGAGGAUGAAGCCCCUUGGGGUGUAAACUCCUUUCGAUCGGGAAGAUAAUGACGGUACCGAUAUAAGAAGCCCCGGCUAACUUCGUGCCAGCAGCCGCGGUAAUACGAGGGGGGCAAGCGUUGUUCGGAUUCAUUGGGCGUAAAGGGUGUGUAGGAGGUCAGGUAAGUCGUGUGUGAAAUCUCAGAGCUUAACUCUGAAACUGCGCUCGAUACUGCUUGGCUAGAGGAUCGGAGGGGGUAACGGAAUUCAUGGUGUAGCAGUGAAAUGCGUAGAUAUCAUGAGGAACACCGGUG
rnacentral:rRNA from 1 species